UACGUAGGUGGCGAGCGUUGUCCGGAAUUACUGGGUGUAAAGCGCGUGUAGGCGGCAGGCCAAGUCGGUGGUGAAAGCGCCCGGCUCAACUGGGCGAGGUCCAUGGAAACUGGUCAGCUGGAGGACGGUAGAGGCGAGUGGAAUUCCCGGUGUAGUGGUGAAAUGCGUAGAGAUCGGGAAGAACACCUAUGGCGAAGGCAGCUCUCUGGGACGGUACUGACGCUGAGACGCGAAAGCGUGGGGAGCAAACAGG
rnacentral:rRNA from 1 species